UACAGAGGGUGCAAGCGUUAAUCGGAAUUACUGGGCGUAAAGGGCGCGUAGGCGGUUGAUUAAGUUGGAUGUGAAAUCCCUGGGCUUAACCUAGGAACUGCAUCCGAUACUGGUCAGCUAGAGUGCGGUAGAGGGUAGUGGAAUUUCCGGUGUAGCGGUGAAAUGCGUAGAUAUCGGAAGGAACGCCAGUGGCGAAGGCGGCUACCUGGACUGACACUGACGCUGAGGCGCGAGGGCGUGGGGAGCAAACAGG
rnacentral:rRNA from 1 species